rnacentral:rRNA from 1 species
GACAGAGGGUGCAAACGUUGUUCGGAAUUACUGGGCGUAAAGCGCGUGUAGGCUGCUCGGAAAGUCGAACGUGAAAUCCCUGGGCUCAACCCAGGAACUGCGUCCGAUACUGGUUGGCUUGAAUCCGGGAGAGGGACGUGGAAUUCCAGGUGUAGCGGUGAAAUGCGUAGAUAUCUGGAGGAACACCGGUGGCGAAGGCGACGUCCUGGACCGGCAUUGACGCUGAGGCGCGAAAGCCAGGGGAGCAAACGGG